rnacentral:rRNA from 1 species
UGACUGUGCAAAGGUAGCAUAAUCAUUUGCCUUUUAAUUGGAGGCUUGUAUGAAUGGUUUGACGAGAGCUAAGCUGUCUCCUCUUAAAUAUAAAAAAAUUAAUUUUUAGGUGAAGAAGCCUAAAUUCAAUUGAGGGACAAGAAGACCCCUUUGAGCUUUAGUGAUCUAACAAAUUUUUAUAGCUGUCGAAAAGACAGCAGCGUAACAUUAAUGAAAACAUCAUUUGUUAAAAAUCUUUAGUUGGGGCGACUAAGGAACAUGAAAAGCUUCCUUUAAAUCUCUACUUAUGAGAAGUCAAUCUUAUACAAAGAUCCAGUACUUACUGAUCAGAGGAAAAAGUUACCACGGGGAUAACAGCGUA